CCAGAAUCAGGCUGCAAAUGCCAAAGCAAGAGAUGUCAGCAAUGAGUUGCAGGUCUUUGCCAAACAGAGCAUCAUCUGGCAGUGAAAGGAGAGCAGAAGAGGGGAUUUUGAAGUGCUUCCUGCACACUUCCGACAACUUGAUUGAACUGGACGCCCUUGGAAGUUCAUGGCAUCGCCUAUAACAGAGUCUGUGUAGGCAAAACCCCAGCCUAUGCUGGAAUUUAACUCUUAAAAAGCAACCUAAGUAGAACACAAGAUUGUAAACUCUAAGGAGAUUCUAACACCAAAAGAAAGUAUGACUUGAGCCAAUGAAAUGCCAAAAUCCAGUUCUAGCUGACAACGUCAGUAGUGGAGGACAGACUUCCACUUGCCAUUUGAGGAAAAAGCAUGUGGAUUCAUGAGCAUAACAGCAGAUACCCCACUACCAAUUACCAAAUCCUGUGCACAUUCCUGUUCUCCAGUCACCUUUUCUCCAUAAAUGUUUGUGGUAUAAAAUGAAAACCUUCCCAAAUAUUAACCAGUCAAC
rnacentral:lncRNA from 1 species